UGUUCUUGGAGCAUCUUUACACACGCAGACAGUGAAUCGAUAGUUAAACGGACCAUCCAUGGUGACGUUGCUUCUGAGAUAAGCUUUACACUGAUGAGGAAAAGGUGGGAGAAGGGCAAGGACAGGCGUCAGUCUGGGGACUGUGAAGGGAAGGGAAAGGGAAGAGAGGAAGAAGAUGGAGGGCACAGAACGGGGGCAGGGGUGGUUGGGGGCCUGGAGGUGUCUGUUUCUGUAGUAUCAUUUCAGCAGCUAAGUCUGGGUCACACCCUCAAGCUCCCGCAUAAGCAGUGUGGGUGUAAGGCCCAGGGGGGAAAGGGAGAUGCAAGGGAAUCCACAGGGCAAGAGGGCUUGUCCCGCGGUGGCUAUCCAUCUGGGAAGCAGGCUGGCCUUAGCCACCAGCCAGAGCUUUCGGCAUUGACCUGCAUUAGCUUUUACUCUGUGAGCUGGUGAGACGGCAGCCUGGCCACUUGGGGGUAGGAGCAAAGGCCAGGCUUUGUCAGAACUGUGACCAAGCCCCAGCCAUGCUCCUCCCUAGCUUUGUGACCUUUUCUGAUUAAAGUUACACCUCUCACUCCCACUGUCCUCAGUUGUGAGGUGGAAACAAUGAUCUGCAAAGCCUGGCUGUUAGCUGCAGGCAGAGAACCAGGAGCAGGCCAGUGCUGGCCCUGAACAGGAGCUGGAGAGAGCGCAUGCUGGAGGAAACAGAAGGUGACCUGUCCCAGAGAAGUGGCGUCCCAGGUGCCCAGCACACUUCUUAUAGGCAGAUCCAGGAAGUGCGAGAGCUGCCAGGAGAGGCAUAUUUAAUAUUCCACACUGAUGAUGUCCCUGCCAUGAGGUCCCUGUUCCGGGCACCAUCUGGUCUGCGGCAGGCACAGGACAAUAGAGGAGGCAGUUAAUGUGUAACAGAGGCCAGUGCCUUGAAGCAGGUGGCCUGGUCUCUCAUCUCUCCUCGUCAUGUACAGAACAAGAACAAUGAGGAAGAAAGUUAAGCUAUAAUAUGAGAAGCAGAACUGCAAACAUGCUAGUGACUCAGACUGCAGUCACAUCUCUCUCAAGACUGACUUUAGUAAAGUUAACCCCCGGCCAGCAGACAAAUUAGACUGGCCGACCGAGGUGCUCAAAGCCAAAUAGAAGGAGACAGCGUGGCUGGGUGAGGGAGCGGUCCCGUACUCUGUGUUCUCGGAAAGAUGUCGUGAGAGUGUCCCAGGACCUUCCUGUCUACAAUCAAGCCGAACCAGAUCCUGUUUUUGGUGGGGUGACAGAGUGUCGCUGGGAAUUCCCCUCCUGACCACCAGCCGGCCAUCUGGAACUAGCCAACUAAGACAGGCUGGUGACUUGGGGCUCAGAAGUCAAGACCCUGCUCCUCAGUCCCCUGGCUCUGCCCCCGCCCUGCAGUUUUCACCUUUAUUAUCUCUAAGUGCGUUUUUGGUUCACACUGGAGGCUGGGA